CUGAACAUGAGCCAGCAGUGUGCCCAGGUGGCCAAGAAGGCCAAUGGCAUCCUGGCUUGUAUCAGAAACAGUGUGGCCAGCAGGAACAGGGAAGUGAUUGUCCCCCUGUACUCAGCACUGGUGAGGCCGCACCUCGAGUGCUGUGUCCAGUUUUGGGCCCCUCACUGUAAGAAAGACAUGGAGGCCCUGCAGCGUGUCCAGAGGAGGGCAACACAGCUGGUGAGGGCUCUGGAGCACAGGCCUUAUGAGGAGCGGCUGAAGGAGCUAGGAUUGUUCAGUCUGGAGAAGAGGAGGCUCAGGGGAGGCCUUAUUGUUCUGUGUAACUGCCUGAAGGGAGGCUGUAGUGAGCUGGGGGUCAGCCUCUUCUCUCGUGUGACAGUGAUAGGACAAGAGGGAAUGGCUUCAAGCUGCGCCAGGGAAGGUUCAGGCUGGACGUUAGGAAAUACUACUGCUCUGAAAGGGUGGUCAGGCACUGCAAUGGGCUGCCCAGAGAGGUGGUGGAGUCACCCACCCUGGUGGUGUUCAAAGAGCGUUUGGAUGUUGUGUUGAGGGACGUGGUUUAGCGGGAACCAUUGGUGAAGGGCGGAUGGUUGGACUGGGUGUUCCUGUGGGUCUUUUCCAACCUUAGCGAUUCUAUGAUUCUAUGAUUUGCCUCUUGCAUGCCCUACAUCGACCCCAAAUGAGAAGAGGAAACGGUUUUCUCCAGCUGCUUCGCUCAGAGGCUGCAG
ensembl:lncRNA